CCACACUUAAACAAAUUAAGGUGUCUCAACCCAUGGAAGUCGUAGGCAUGGAUCUUAUUGGAAAAGCUAAGGUAGUGUUGCAAGCAGGCAGUGACAAAUACAGUUCGGCGACAUGACAUGCUCAUCUUGUCCAGGACCUCAUCCAGUAUAAUGAAGGGCAAUCAGUUUCUAGUUUAUUAGAAUGCAUAUGAGAUUUUAAGAUGCAUGAUGAACCCUUGCAUGUUUUAUGGUGUCUUAAAAGUUUUAGGUGAACAUCGUGAAAUAUAUUAUAUUUUACCUGUAAAAAUGUAACUCAUUUAUUUACUUUUGCUAAGGUUUCACAUCAGGAAGUAUGGUCCCUCUUCUUACUGUUUCUUAUUAUUGUGUGUACAUAAACACAUUACUUUCUCACACUUAUGUUGGCUAAUAGUUCACUCUAUGAUGGCAUGUUCCCCUGCAAUGACCUCUGUAUCACAUUUACUGCUUUCUCUUACUUAUUUUUGUUAUGUGGUUGCCACUAGCAUUAGGGCCCCCAGUUACUGUUAUUAGGUUAUAAGAAAUAGCAGCUGCACUUAAUUAGCCUAACUGUUACCUUUUUCUGACAAAUUAAAACCUAAAGGGUGGGAAUGUACAGUGAAAGCCAUAAAUCCUCGCACAAACUUCAAAAUUAUGGCGGAAAAAGUCGGACCAGAAAACCCUGUCACCCGCCCUUUAGGGUUUAACCUCCCCUGCUUCAUGCCCUGGCCAGUAAUCCUCACAUCCCCUGCACUUAGGAGUUUGGUUCAGUAGGUUUUGUAUGCCUUAUUUAUAUUACUAUAAAAUCUUACCAUCCUCACACCAGAUAAGAUAAUGGUUUUUUGCAUGUGGAAUUUUGUAUCUUAAGAGAUCUUACAAAUGACAGAGUGUUGCUCUGCGAUGGAUUUCUCAAUUGACUUCAUUGAUUUAGAAAUGAUGAGUUAAGGGAUGAUGAUAGAAGAUACUUUGAUGCAGUAAAUACUGUUACAUUUACAAUUGCCACAAUUUAAUUUUCCACAAUAUUUUGAAACAAAACAACUUAGCAUUCAGUGUUCCAUUGUAAUGACACCUUUAUUAUCUGUUUUCUGCCACCACAUAGUAAGUCAUUACAGUGCUGCUCCUCAUGUUUUUCAGCUAAAUGAUAUCCAUCGUGGGGAGGAAAUAUGCCACUACAUGUAUACUGAUAUAUUUUCACUGUAUUACAGGACCACUAGCGAUGACCAAGAGUGGGAGUCAGUACGUAUUGACAAUUGUGGAUUACUUCACCAAAUAUGUACUGUUGUUCCCUCUUCCAAGAAAGGAUGGGACAGGUGUCAACAAUUGCAUCAAGCAGUACAUAAGCAUAUCAACAAUGACUUCUGCCAGCAAAUGGGAAUAAAAAGGUGUGUCUCCAGUGCUUAUCAUCCCCAGACCAAUGGUUUGGUGGAAAGAGUAAACGGUAUGGUGAAACGCCGAGUAAGCAAGCUGUUGGUUGACCGUGGCAAAAACUGGGACGAGAGUCUGCAUGACAUCAUUUUCUCAAUAAACGCUCAGCCACAGUCAGCUACGAAGUACACACCAUUUUUCCUAAUGUUUGGUCGGGAAGCCCACACACUUUUGGAGAUCAAAGGUGUGGACUCUGACACUGACAUCAUAGAAGAUGGCAAGCUUGAGGAAUUUGUAGAAGACCAUGCAACCACCUACGAAAAGGCAUAUGAAAAGGCUUAGAUCAACCAAACAAAAGCACAUGCCAAGGCAAAAAAGGCAUACGAAAAGAAAAAAUCCAAGGGGGUCAAAAGCUUUGCACUGCAUGUGGGCCAGCUUGUGCUGAAACGCCAGGCAGCCAACAUUGCACGCAAAGGUGGACAGUGUGAUCCACUGUGGACUGGCCCAUUUAGUAGUGUUGAGGGCAGAGCCUUGAGCCUCCAUCAACUGUCUUUACAGAGAGGUAACAACAGGCUGCAGCGUUGUGGAAUUCAGCAGUGGCAUGAUUAGGGAGACACCACAACUCUGGCUGGCAAUGGAGCACUCGCCCAGCUGUGGGGUCCAGCCAUUAAUUGAGAUCACCAGAACCUUUCUCAACUGUUUCCAUUGUCUCCACAAAAUAAUAUUAAUUAUCUUUCUUAACCCUUUCAUUGCUAAGCGCUCACAAUGAGACUCCCCUCAGGCGCGUUCACAGCGAGCUUUUAGCACCACCAGCAAGUGACGCUAGUGCUCGCUCUUUUAACCUUUGUAUAAAAAAACUAUUUAUCACAGCUAAAAACAAAAACACCAUUGGAAAGAGGAGGCCAAGAUUUAUAAUAUUCGGUAAUGUAAGCCUCUCCUGCGAAAAUACAGGCACGUUCAGGGGGUGUUUCCUGUGAAGAUGUACAUUUAUGUGUGCGUGACGGUCAGCCGCAAGGCAACUACUGUAGAUCUCUUGAUGAUGGGUGCUGGCAAGGGAGUAUUGCCAACUGCAAACUUUACAACUAUUUGGUCAAAAUAUGAGUCAAGUGAUAGGUGAAGCUGUGCAAAAAUGUCACUAUAUUGGGCAAGAAUAUCCACCACUUGCUCAUCCGUAGAUUUUCUGUGCUUGGCUGACAUGAUUUUCCACCAAAUUUAGUGAAGAACCCACUCUAUUGGCAAUCGGACCUGUGUUAUGAGAAUUAGUUAUGGAACACUCACAUGUGGGAGAUUUGAGUGCAGCUGGAGCUCACAGCGAGUGUUUAGCGCCACCAGCAAAUACGCCUAAUGCCCA